GCAGUCGAGGGGUAGUUAGUCUUCGGAUAAUGAGACCGGCGCACGGGUGCGUAACGCGUAUGCAAUCUACCUUUCACAGAGGGAUAGCCCAGAGAAAUUUGGAUUAAUACCUCAUAGUAUAGUAGUCUCGCAUGAGAUCACUAUUAAAGAUUUAUCGGUGAAAGAUGAGCAUGCGUCCCAUUAGUUAGUUGGUAAGGUAACGGCUUACCAAGACUACGAUGGGUAGGGGUCCUGAGAGGGAGAUCCCCCACACUGGUACUGAGACACGGACCAGACUCCUACGGGAGGCAGCAGUGAGGAAUAUUGGACAAUGGGCGCAAGCCUGAUCCAGCCAUGCCGCGUGCAGGAUGACGGUCCUAUGGAUUGUAAACUGCUUUUAUACAGGAAGAAACACUGGUUCGUGAACCAGCUUGACGGUACUGUAAGAAUAAGGAUCGGCUAACUCCGUGCCAGCAGCCGCGGUAAUACGGAGGAUCCAAGCGUUAUCCGGAAUCAUUGGGUUUAAAGGGUCCGUAGGCGGUCAGAUAAGUCAGUGGUGAAAGCCCAUCGCUCAACGGUGGAACGGCCAUUGAUACUGUCUGACUUGAAUUAUUAGGAAGUAACUAGAAUAUGUAGUGUAGCGGUGAAAUGCUUAGAGAUUACAUGGAAUACCAAUUGCGAAGGCAGGUUACUACUAAUAUAUUGACGCUGAUGGACGAAAGCGUGGGUAGCGAACAGGAUUAGAUACCCUGGUAGUCCACGCCGUAAACGAUGGAUACUAGCUGUUGGGAGCAAUCUCAGUGGCUAAGCGAAAGUGAUAAGUAUCCCACCUGGGGAGUACGAACGCAAGUUUGAAACUCAAAGGAAUUGACGGGGGCCCGCACAAGCGGUGGAGCAUGUGGUUUAAUUCGAUGAUACGCGAGGAACCUUACCAAGGCUUAAAUGUAGAUUGACCGGUUUGGAAACAGACUUUUCGCAAGACAAUUUACAAGGUGCUGCAUGGUUGUCGUCAGCUCGUGCCGUGAGGUGUCAGGUUAAGUCCUAUAACGAGCGCAACCCCUGUUGUUAGUUGCCAGCGAGUCAUGUCGGGAACUCUAACAAGACUGCCAGUGUAACCUGUGAGGAAAAGUUGGGGAUGACGUCAAAUC
rnacentral:rRNA from 1 species